GCACUUUUUUGUACAUUGGACAUAAAUUUCAAGAAAAGAUUGUAUCUCAACCUAACAUAAAACUUUGGGAGAUAUGGGAAUUGGUAAGGAAUCAGUAGGGUUUGUAUCUAGGGAGGAAUGUUUGCUAGGGAACCAAGUGCAGGGUAAUGAGUCAGUUCAAGGGUGAUUGCAAUCUGAAAUUCUCUAGAUUAUGUGACUAGGAUGACAUUUAUAAGAAGACAAAUCCUAGACGUUCUUGUUGGGUUAUAAUAGACACAUUUACCGUCUAUGUUCCAUGGUACAUCAACAUCUAUUAUCGAACUCCAACCAUAAUAAAACGUCUUAAUGUUGU
rnacentral:misc_RNA from 1 species